AGAGAUCCCUUGUUACUGAAGCCU
rnacentral:siRNA from 1 species